rnacentral:rRNA from 1 species
UACGGAGGGUGCGAGCGUUGUCCGGAAUCAUUGGGCGUAAAGGGCGCGUAGGUGGCCCGGUCAGUCUUUGGUGAAAGCGCGGGGCUCAACCCUGCGUCGGCCAGGGAUACUGCCGCGGCUCGAGCACUGUAGAGGCAGGCGGAAUUCCGGGUGUAGCGGUGGAAUGCGUAGAGAUCCGGAAGAACACCGGUGGCGAAGGCGGCCCGCUGGGCAGGAAGGCUCGCAAGAGCCGGCUGACGCUGAGGCGCGACAGCGUGGGGAGCAAACAGG